GAGAAACCUUUGAUCUCUCCAUGGGGGAGAAAGGGUCGGAACAGCGAUUCCAAAGACAGGCCAAUGAACUGAGUUUACGUGCACGGUGUUCUUGGGAUACCUGCCUGGGUGCCCUGGGUGUGGCCAGCAGGGCAAAAGGCAGGUGGGAAAGACCAGAGUCUUGUGAUGCUGGUGGCUGUAGGGCAACCUCGUUUGCUCAGAUCCUACACACCAGCAGUCCUGAGACCUGCCUUUUCCUCCCGGUGGAUCCUGGGUGACAUGCUCCCUAGGGCUCCUCUCCUGGGCUGCACUGUGCCCUGUGGGGUUGUCAGGAGCCAUGCUCUCUUCCCCCCACCCCCACCAGGCAGCUCCAGCAGCCUCUCUGUUACUCGCACCACGUCCUGGGGUGGCUCAGGUGUGCAUGUCCUCCGUGCUCCCGGGUCACGGCCAGGGAGGGGUGCUGAGCGUUCUCCACCCAAGGUGCUUGGACUCCAGAUAUACUUGGGAGGGAGACAGUGUCAGCUCCCAGGGCGCAGCCCUCCCUAGAAGCUGGGGGAUUGUGCUUCUAAUCACGUGGGGCGGUGUGUCGUGCGACGAGCACGUGUGGAAGAUGCUCUCCUGUGCGUCCCCCAGAUCCACAGCCUCUCAGGAUGGCCCCUCGAGCAACCUCAGCAACACUAGCAAUAACCAGGACUCACUGAACAACGCCCCCAAGAAGAAGGGCAUCACAAAAUCCAUCCGCUGGUUGCUCGCCAGAAAACAAAAGGUCCACCCCAGCCACGCCAGCGACGAGCCUGCAUGACCAGUUUACCCACACUGCUUCUCCCGAUGGUCUUGCAGCACGCUGAGCCCAGCAGUGACUACAUUUGAAACUUCAACCAGAUCUUUCAUCUGUUAAUCCUUGUUAUAUGGACCCUGAGAUAUUUUAUUACAGUGUUUGAUUACUGAAAAAUUCGUGAAUAGGAUAGAGAAACUCAUUUAGCAUUUAAUGUUUCGUACAUUUCUGUAAAUUUGUCACUCCCUAUAGAGAGUUCCUGACUUUCAUGUAUAUCCGGGCUAUAAAUAUCCUUUGGAAUCAAUUGAUGUUCUUAUAUCUCAGUUUAGUCUUUCAAAUGAAUGUACUGUCAUGGCUGUAUGUAUGAAUCCUACGACAAAUACGGUCUUUUAUAACCUGUGCAUGUAUUGUAAUUAUCAUUGUUUAAUUGUUUGUUAAGAAACCCUGACAGAGAAAAGGAUUUUACCAUGUUUGUAAAAUCACCGUGACACAGCCUGCAUUAUCCUUUACGAAUGUCCCUUAGCUCUACAACCAUGGUUUUGAUAUAAGCAGACUUAAUUUGCAGCAAUUGUCGUUGUGUUUUAAUGACUCACCUUAACUACACUUUUUCUAGCAAGAAAUGCUUUCUUGUGCAGUGUGAAGAGAUUAAAAAUAUCUGGUGUUGACUAUCA